rnacentral:rRNA from 1 species
CAAUAGCGUAUACUAACGUUGUUGCAGUUAAAAGCUCGUAGUUGGAUUUCUGUGUUGGUGAGGCGGCCGGCCAUUCGUGGUUGUAGCUAGUUAUCACCGGCGCAUCUUGUCACAAGCCACGCUGGCCUUAACUGGUUGGCGUUGGGGACUGACUCGUUUACUUUGAGAAAAUUAGAGUGUUCAAAGCAGGCUAUCGCCUUGAAUAUGUUAGCAUGGAAUAAUGAUAUAGGACUUUGGUUCUAUUUUGUUGGUUUUGUUGGACCGGAGUAAUGAUUGAUAGGGACGGUUGGGGUGAUUCAUAUUGCAAAGCGAGAGGUGGAAUUCUUGGACCUUUGUAGGAUGAACAACUGCGAAAGCAUUUCACUAGGACGUUCCCGUUGAUCAAGAACGAAAGUUGGGUCAUCGAAGACGAUUAGAUACCGU